rnacentral:lncRNA from 1 species
ACCGUGCCCAGUUCCCUUCUUAAAUAGUUUUAAGGGGGAGAAGAAAGAAAAAGACUGAUUUUCUUCCCUUCCACUACCAAAACAGGCAAAACACACCGGAACACUUUGCUUAGCAUUUCUUUUCUUUUCUUUUCUUUUUUUGAGAAAGAGUCUCCCUCUGUCAGCCAGGGUGGAGUGCAGUGGGGCGAUCUUGGCUCACUUCAAGCUCCACCUCCUGGGUUCAGGCCACUCUCCUGCCUCAGCCUCCUGAGUAGCUGGGACUACAGGUGCCCGCCACCACGCCCGGCUAAUUUUUUGUAUUUUCAGUAGAGACGGGAUUUCACCGUGUUAGCCAGGAUGGUCUGGAUCUCCUGACCUCUUGAUCCGCCCGCCUCUGGGCGGCCACUGGUUGUGUGUAAAGCUCCCGGAUGACUCUAAUGUGCAGUGGGGAGUGAGAACCCUUGUAGUGGAAAACCGAGAGUCACAAGACAUCAAAAUAUAGGAAUUCCAGCCUGGCCAACGUGGCAAAACCCCAUUUCUACAAAAAAUGCAAAAAUUAAUCCAGUGUGGUGGCUCAUGCCUGUGGUCCCAACUCCUCGGGGGCUGAGGUGGGAAGAUCACUUGAGCCCAGGAGGUCAAGGCUGCAGUGAGCCAUGAUCGCACCACUGCACUCCAGCCUGGGUGACAGAGCAAGACCCUGUCUCAACAACAACAAAAAAGGAAUUCAGGUGAUGACUUUUUUUUUUUUUUUUUUUUUUUUGAGAUGGAGUCUCCUCUGUCCCCAAGGCUGGAGUGCAGUGGUGUAAUCUCAGCUCACUGCAACCUCGGCCUCCCAGGUUCAAGUGAUUCUCCUGCCUCAGCCUCCCAAGUAGCUGGGACUGCAGGUGUGUACCACCAUGCCCGGCUAAUUUUUUGUAUUUUUAGUAGGGGCGGGGUUUCACUAUGUUGGCCAGGCUGGUCUCGAACUCCUGACCUCAGAUGAUCUGCCUGCCUUGGCCUCCCAAAGUGCUGGGAUUACAGGUGUGAGCCACCAUGCCCGGCCAAUUCAGGUGACUUCUGAAUUCUCAUUCUGAUUCUGGUAAGUUACAUGGGAAUGCUAAUCUACCUAAAUUUAGCCCAAAAGAAAAGAAAAUGCCCCUCCAAAAAGAGCUGCUAAUAACUCUAGGAGAAUGGAGUAUCAUAAGGGCAAGCUAAUCUACCCAGCAGCCCCAGAACAAAAGCAAGGGAUGUGGUCUGCCCCCAGCGUCUUUU